AUGUUCGCAUCACACUCCCGGUCUCGCAUCAACAACCUCCGCAUAUCCCUCUCCAACGCCCAGAAGGGCAAUCAAUCUGUCCCGGCGUAUUUCUCUCGCAUGAAGGGCCUAGCUGAUGAACUUGCAGCCGCCGGGAAACCCAUCGGCGAGGAUGAGCUCGUCUCCUUUAUCCUAGCCGGUCUUGACAUGGAGUACAACCCUCUUGUUUCUGCUAUAGAUGCCCGUACUGAACCAGUUUCUCUUGAUGCCCUCUAUGGUCAGAUGGCCAAUUUCGAUCAGCGGGUUGAGCUCCUACAGAACGCCGGGGGUGGCUUCAAAUCCUCGGCCAAUUCUGCAUCUCGUGGACGCGGUGGCUAUCGCGGGCGGGGUGCUCCUCGUGGUCGCGACGGAGGGCGAGGCGGCAACAGCCGCGGUGGUGGUAACAGCGGCGGCAAUGGUGGUGGUGCUCAUCCCUCCUACAACAACAAUAGGGGUGGGCGUGGUGGCAACAAUGGUGCCUCCCGUGCUCCCGUGUGCCAGAUCUGUGGCAAACCGGGGCACAUCGCCACAAACUGUUGGUAUCGCUACACCGACGACUACCCUCCGGAAGAGAAAACAGCCGGCUCCAUCAACACCUCCAGCUACGGCAUAGAUACCAAUUGGUAUGCCGAUAGUGGUGCUACUGACCACAUCACCGGCGAACUUCAGAAGCUUACAGUUCGUGACAACUAUCGCGGUAGUGAUCAAGUCUACACCGCAGAUGGGUCAGGACCAAGCAACGGGGAGUAUUCUUCAUCGAGGCAGAUGUAG
rnacentral:rRNA from 1 species